UAGUGAUGUGGAAGAUCGAAUAUCGCCGAUCCAUCGGUCGGCUGAAAAGGGAAGUUCGGUGCAAAUCCGACGCCGUCCCGCCACUGUGAUGGGGAUCGCUGUUCAUCGGAACGGGAGCGAUCCCCAUCAGCCGGGAGACCUGUCUGUUCCAGGCUGCCACA
rfam:Desmospora sp. 8437 genomic scaffold SCAFFOLD1, whole genome shotgun sequence.